CUCCUUUCUCCAGCAUGGCCGAAACCUCACUUCCCUUCAUGCCCUGAAACACGCAGAACAUACCCCAGCUUGGUAAACGUGGUGUUGAGUACAACAAAACAGCAGGCAGGGCAUGUUCUGGCAGCGAGGGGAGCCCGCUUCUAUGGCGGAUUCUAUCACUGGGCAAUUUGGAGUGAGCAAAGGACCGUGAAGAAGACAAAAUUGUUGGACUGGAGGUUUUCUUAGCACAAGUGCAAAAAGAACGUUUGAUCGGAAGACUACUGCUCUUUUCCCUCCUCCCUCAAGGCCCCGUAAGGGUGGGCCAACGCUGGCAAGGCAUGGGAGGAGACAAAGCUUCCCAGAGAAAUCAGGCUAUGACGUACACUGGGCUGGUGGCUUUUGCCCCAGCACUGUGUGCGCUUCCGGCCUACGCGACGUUACCUGUUCUGCUGUAAAUACUUGUUGAGCGGACCCAGUUCCGCCAUCUCCAUCACCAGCAUCCAGGACUCGGCUUCACAGAUGCCGAUCAUGCGCACGAUGUAAGGGUUAUCGAGCUGCUGCAUGACAUUGGCUUCCGCUAAUAACUCAUCUUUAAGAGCGGGGUCGUUAGCCUCGUUCUUCAGAAUCUUCACAGCCACCGUUUUCACGACUCUGCAAAAGAAAUCGUAACACAUAAGAAAGAAAGUUUUCAAAGUGGCCGGGGUUUAGGUAAUUGCCUUCCGCGGGGCGUAACUGCUCUGCUAGAAAUGGGGUUCUGGAAAUCGCUGCAACCACAUUCUCUCUACUUUACAGACAAAGAGAGUCGCCCUUCAUUACUUAAAGGGGGGAGCUGAAGAACAGUCCGAGCAAGCCGAGCCUAAAUAUUAUAGAAUAUGAGUAGCUUUCAAAUAAACCUUACAAACCAUGA